GACAGGAGGAGGUCAGUCACUCAUCUGCAGCCCGUGCGGAUCAGACUCGCCGGGCUCGCAGCAGCUUUCACACUUCUGUUAUGUCAGUAGGAAUGUAAGGGGAAUACACGCGCAGAGGGGGAAUAUUUGACUGUGCGCGAGGGAGGCGUGGAGCCCGACACAGGGCUGUAGCAUGGGGUGAUGAGGACUCUCCUUUGCUAAUCUCAAUGCAGAUGACUAGUGAUGGCCACAGCAUCACCUCAACAUUUGUUGGAUGACAUAAAAAACUCUGAAGAACAACAGCCGGACCAACAGGAGCAGCAGGAAUUCUUGAGCUCCCUGGAGACCAUCGCUCUCACCAUCUUUCUCUCGCUCAUCAUUAUCAUGACAGUUUUCGGCAACCUGUUGGUCAUGGUGGCGCUCUGCAAGGACCGACACUUGCGAAAGAAAAAGACAAACUACUUUAUUGUCUCGCUGGCGUUUGCUGACUUGCUGGUUGCUCUGGUCGUGAUGCCCUUUGCUGCCAUCGAACUGACUACUGGCCAGUGGCGCUAUGGAGAGAUUUUCUGCCUGGUGCGAACAUCUCUGGACGUCCUGUUGACCACAGCAUCCAUCCUGCACCUCUGCUGCAUUGCACUGGAUAGGUAUUAUGCCAUCUGCUGCCAGCCAUUGGUGUAUAGACACAAGAUGACCCCGAUGAGAGUGGCAGUCAUGCUCAGUGGCUGUUGGCUCAUUCCCACAUUUAUCUCCUUUCUACCCAUCAUGCAAAGCUGGAACGCCAUCGGGAUCGAGGAUAUUAUUGAAGAGCGGCGAGCCUUGGCGGGAGGCUCGAACGACACAAGUUGUGUGUUUCUGGUUAACCGGCCGUACGCCCUGAUCUGCUCUGCAGUGGCCUUCUACGUGCCGCUGGGCCUCAUGGUCCUAGCCUACCAGCGUAUCUAUGUUACUGCCAUGACCCACGUGCGGCAGAUAGAGACACUUCAACGUGCCGGAUCUGCUCCGGUCACCGGCACAAUUCCAGUCAUCACCGUGAGGACAUCCACUUCCUCAGAUCCUUUGGAGCAUUACCGCCUUAGGACACCAACGGGUUCGUCCUCCUCAGAGCAGGCUCCUAUAGGUCACAGCCGCAUGCGCAUUGAGACCAAGGCAGCAAAGACGCUGGCGGUUAUAAUGGGUUGUUUCUGCCUGUGCUGGGCUCCAUUCUUUAUCACCAACAUAGUGGACCCGUUCAUCCACUACUCGGUACCCUGGCAGCUGUGGACAGCCUGGUUGUGGCUUGGGUACAUUAACUCAGGGCUGAACCCUUUCCUGUACGCCUUCCUAAACCGGGCUUUUCGGAGGGCGUUUCUGGUCAUUCUCUGCUGUGGGGAUGAGCGGUACGCACGGCAGGGGAGCUGCUCCUAUGGACCAACCCACAGAGUGUGCUCAGCUGCAUCAGUCAAUGGAACAUCCAUGGCACUGAGGAAUUAAGAGAGUAAUCAUCAUCAGCAAGUGUGGCCAUCUCUAUAAAAGCAGAAGUUUUGGCAGUUUGCUGCUCUGGAGUUUUCAGAUUGUCCUUCCUGCCAAACCGGAGCUACAGCGACAAUGGACGGACAAUUCUGGCCAAUGAGCAGGAAUCCCAGGACUCUCUUGGACCUCUAUGAGGAUGACUAUUUUAAAAACAGAACUGUGAUGAACCUUGAGGUGGACUUCCUCAAAUAAUAGUGAUCGUGUCCCUUCUGGAUAUUCGAGCUAUGAUAAUCCAUCACCAUUGUCUGAUUUACUUUACUACUUUACUUACUGAUCCUGUCCAUGGAUCUCUAAAGAUGUUCAUUACUCAAGUGUGGAGCAUCAGAACUGACUUGUUAUAAAAUAGUUGGAUCAAUGAACUGUGCAAAUGUUUCCAGGCAUGCUCUUAUUCUAAAACCCAAAGAACUAGUCUGGAUCCUGGGAUCAGCGAACUGCAAGCCCAUCCAUGUUAACAUAAUGUGAGACUCAUUAACUUAAAACAACAAGCUGUAGCAGAGCUACCUGCCUGCUGCUCAUACAAAUGUUUGUUCAUAUAAGAAUACGGCUUCUUUUACAGCACUGCUUUCUUUUCCUGUCUUUUACCAGCAUAAACUAAACAACUAAGGUGGCACUGGAGUCUGACAUACAGUUUUUAAAAAAGGACUUCGUAAUAUCUGUUUUUCAUUUCUAAUCCUGCUGUGAACAAAAACACCAAAGACUGAAGACAUGGACAUUUUGAUUUGAUUUCUCCCAGGAAAGGCAUCAGCGGCAUCGUGCAGGUUCUGUUCAAACAGUGCUGAAGCACCUGCAUAAAGUUUUCAUGAAACAUAAAACAUGGCUGGACUUUUGUCUGCAGGCCAGCGGCAAAGUUAAAGUGCAGCUUUACGCCAAUGUGAAAAAAUGUAUGUCAAAACAUUUAUCGUGGUUUUCAUCAUUCUGCAGAGAAUGACAGUGAUCUGUGUUGGAGAAUAUGCUUUACUUUUUGUAAAUUUAUAAGAUAAACUUCUGUAACAAAGCACUGAAAGUUCAGGCACAUUGCCAUAAAUGUGUCUGAAAAAGUGACGGUUUCAGGAAUGUGAAGAAAAAACCGCUCUGGUGUUUGUGCUUGUGAAUGAGCCCAGCUUCCUGUAUUCUUUAAUGUAAAUAAGGCUGCUGUGAAACAUGAAGAGAAAUCACUGGAGCAUACAGCCACCGGCCACUUUGUUAGGUACAUCUGUGAACCCACCUGUACGUGCAAACAUUCAGUUAGUUAAUCACAUGGCAGCAACUCUGUGCAUUUUGGCUUUUACACAUAGUCAAGACAACCUGCUGAGCUCUGGAGGAAAAAGAGGGUCCAACCUUGUACUAACAAGGUAUAACUAAUCAAGUGGCCAAUGACUGUAGUUGGAUGAAUAAGACACUUUGAAACAAGAAGCAGUCUCACAUAUCAAAAAAUAGAUACAAUAGCAAUAUAUUUGAACACCAGAAGUAAUUUCCAGUAGCCAAAGCGUAGUAUAUGCAGGUCAAUGUUCAAUAUACAAACUGAACUGGCUGUACAUGGAUCAGGAGCAGGAAAUACCUGUGACCUUCUGUCACAUAUUCAGUUUAUCUCAGAGUUGGGCCUUAAAUCCUGCAAACCUUUCUCAAUUAUGUAUUUCAUUAUGUGUGACUUAAAAAUAUUACAAAAUUAUACUGAAACAGGAGAAAAUCUUUUCAGCCAAGGUGCAACAAUUAUAAUUUAGAGAAGUAGGAGACUUUAUGUCAGUGGAGCACAAAUAAGUACAUGUAUAUAACAAUAUAGCGACUCACUGGGUGCUUUAUGAGCUAUAGGUAUUGGACUGCUAGUACUGGGUUGGACCCCCUUUGCCUUCAAAAUUGCCUUAAUUCUGUGUCAUAGAUUCAACAAGGUGGUGGAAACAUUCCUCAGAGAAAUUUGGCCCGUAUUGACAUGAUGAAGUUGCUGGAGAUUUGUUGGCUGCAAAUCUGUUAUCGCCUCAAGGUGCUUUAUGUUGUAAGGUAAAGACCUACAAUAAUACAGAGAAAACCCCAACAACCAGGCGACCCCCUGUGAGGAAACUCUUGGCAUCAGUGGGAAGGAAAAAAACACAGAGAAAUGCAUACACAGAGCAUAUCAGACUUGAAUAUACUCACUGCAACAAAGUCUGACAAUUGCUCAUAUAAUCAAUUGCCCUCCCUGUUAGAUGUCAUGUUUUACAACAUGAAAAGAAUAUCAGCAGCCUCAUGCUUCCAUUUACAGAAGCACUGCAUCUGCUGUAGAUUGUAAUAAAUUCAGGAUCGGGUUUAUUUUGCACAAAGGCAGUUUUCAGCUGAGGUGGGUAUGAAGGUGUGGAAUUUCACAAACGAAGAAUAACAGACUUGGAGUCUUUGAGUUGCUUGAUCAGUGGACUGAUCAAGUGGACUGUUUUAAAGGCAAAUUAGAUGACAUUUGACCACUAGAGGGCAGAAACACUGUAAAACAGCCCUUCAGUGGGAUUUACACCUCCAUGUUAAAUCUACACUGUAACUUACUUCCCUAGGUAUGUGCUAAUGCAGCCUGUAACGACUCUAAUUUGCCUAUUCUAGCACCAUCUAGUGUUUCAUAAGUGAAACUGCAGAACAGUUGCACAGCUUGCAGCAUAAAUUCAGUACAUAAGCCUAAAUCAGACUUUAAAGGGAAUACCUGUAAUUACUCUGCUUUGAGUACUAAUUUUGUCUCAUUGAACAUAUGAAAACAAGUUGACAUGACAUAGUGCCUACAUUUAAAAACAACAACUAAAAGCAGUACGGUUUUGGCACCACUGGUGACUCCUUUACAUUUUCCAGAGUCCUUUGAUUCCAAGGUUUAUUCUAAGUUUAGCCCACAUGUUGUCUGUCUAAGUUGGUCUCCAUCUGUCACAGCGCGUUUUGAGUUUGACUUACAAAGGCGUGAAGCUAUUAUCCGCCUACUGUCUGUCAUCUCUAAUAUCUGCGUUAUAUUGUCCUUCUGCAUUUAAAACAUCAGUUAACACCUCUUCUUUCUUUUUCUUCUCAGUCCACAGCCUCCAUGUAUUUCAUGUUUAUUAGACGUGAUAAAGAUGCCAAGAAAUGAAAGAAUUUUAAACAUUUUGGCUUCCAAUCUGCAACAAGGUGUAAACAGAAAUUAAUAGAUUUGUCAUAUAAGGCUCAUAUGUUGCACAUGUUAACAAAGAGCGGUUUAUUUACACAUUGACUCUGCACCAGGCAACAUUAGCAUUCACUUGGUAGUGUUUUUGGCCACCUAACAGAAAAACAUCCAAUAGAUAAGCUCCUUUUAGCUCUGUCUUUUUUAUAUAGUCCAUCUGAUUGCUAAAGUCAUUAAGAUCCAUCUUCUGUUGGAAAAGAAAAUAGACAUAUAUGGUCCUUACAGUCUGUAUUUUAAGCAAAUUGUCCUCUUUUCCCCAGAUUUUGGCAGGAGGAAGCCUAUUGUAGUAUUUGUGCCUUCUAUUGAACGUUCACAUGUCCCAAAUUGAGCCCUGUGAUGUGAUCCUUUCUUCAGCAAGUCGGCAUGAGAAAGCAGGCUCUCUGUGAGGCUGAAGCGUUUUUAACAAGCUUUCAUUAUUGUUGGAGGUGGUAGGCAGUAAUUACACACAAAGCCCCUCAUCAGAAUCCUGUUUGGUAACAGCAAACGUGAAUAUCUCCAAUCAUUCUCACUGCUGCUGAAAAAAAAUGAAAAAACAAAACAAAUGACUUAGGUUGGGAAUUUGCUGGCUGUUAACUAAAUGGUGAAUUCAUUAUGUUGUGAGCCUUCUCACAACUCUCUGACUCCACUGCAAUCCUUCUGGGAUUAUAUCCUGUCCAAGACCUGGAGAUCUCAAGGCUCUGGCUCAUAUAGCACCACAGUGCCAGAGCUGGACCCGGUCUUCUAAAAACAUUUGGCUCGAGGAUUAAUCUGAAGCUAACACAGGAACAGAACAUUAUUUUUAACCUAACAAGACACAGAUUCAUACUUCCAUCUAUGGUACUGAAAAAAAAAUAAUGUUGACUGCAACAGGAGAUGUUUUUGUUUCAGGGUGAACGCAGUCUGAUCUCUUAUAGCAAACAGGCCCACACAAAGCAAAACAAUUUGUUUGAGGAUAUAAAAUGUGAUACCCCAUCAUGAGGGUUUAUCACUCUUUCCACAUGGAGGUAAGAUCUUAGUUAACUUCAAAGCACGGCCCCAAGAGCCACUUUUAGGUGUGUCGCCUUCAAUGGGAAGCAGUCCCACAUGGUUCCUAUUGGAAAACUUAAAUAAGCUGGCUGUAAGCAGUUCACUAAGCUUAUUAGACAUGCUCUUGCUCAACCAACCUGUUAGUCUCAACCCUUAAAGUAUUUUCUUUCAUAAAACCCAAAAAGAAGACUUUGAAAAUUCCUUCAGUGAAGCACAAAUCUUACUUUAACAUGCAGUUAAUUUUACUCAUGGUGUACACUCAAGUUGUAGCGGGCUCACUACUGCCCCCUGAUAUCAGAGCUCAUAACAAAUCCUACUGGUUGGGCAAAUUUGUAGGUAAUUCACUGGGAAAACUGGGCUAAAGAACAG